AUGAACGCUGGCGGCGUGCCUCAUACAUGCAAGUCGAGCGAACAGAUGAGGAGCUUGCUCCUCUGACGUUAGCGGCGGACGGGUGAGUAACACGUGGAUAACCUACCUAUAAGACUGGGAUAACUUCGGGAAACCGGAGCUAAUACCGGAUAAUAUAUUGAACCGCAUGGUUCAAUAGUGAAAGACGGUUUUGCUGUCACUUAUAGAUGGAUCCGCGCCGCAUUAGCUAGUUGGUAAGGUAACGGCUUACCAAGGCGACGAUGCGUAGCCGACCUGAGAGGGUGAUCGGCCACACUGGAACUGAGACACGGUCCAGACUCCUACGGGAGGCAGCAGUAGGGAAUCUUCCGCAAUGGGCGAAAGCCUGACGGAGCAACGCCGCGUGAGUGAUGAAGGUCUUCGGAUCGUAAAACUCUGUUAUUAGGGAAGAACAAAUGUGUAAGUAACUAUGCACGUCUUGACGGUACCUAAUCAGAAAGCCACGGCUAACUACGU
rnacentral:rRNA from 1 species